GCUCAGUUUCCGAUGCGUUUCCCUGUUGAGCAAUGGUGUGUAUUGGGAAUUGAGAAAUACCAGGAGCAGGUGAAACUAUCUGCUCCUAAAAACAAACCCUAAACGUGCAAAGUAGCUCAAAUUUUUCUGAUGAUCUUGUGCAAACCUUGGGCAGGAAAAUGGGGUGCCUGAAAUAGCAGAUGAAAGUAAACAGUGCGGAUGUCAGCUGUUGCUGGGAGAACUUAUUUAGCCAAACGAUGACAGUGGAUGUGAAUCUAGUGGCUAUCUGGAGAGGAAUACUGGAAUGUUCCAUUUGAAGGUGUCAAUGAAGCAUCAUACAGACAAACAUGCUACAAACUGAACAGAAGUCUCCCGUAACUUUCCCAGACUUUGAACAUAAUGGGAGAAAAAGAUAGCAUUUUGAGCAAGAGACAAACUUGUCUUUUUUCCCCUGUCUAGUGGACAUAGGGACAGGGGUUAAAAGUAAGUUUCAAUCCUGAUCUCAGCAUACAAGUGGCCAGAAAUACUAAUGUGUUAUAAAAAUAACAGUUUGAGAAAAACUAUUAAACACCCCUGCACUGCAGGUAAAGAAAGGAGAAACAGUAUACCUCACACUGAGUGCUGCUAAGCAGCUACCGU